UACGUAGGGUGCAAGCGUUGUCCGGAAUCAUUGGGCGUAAAGCGCGUGUAGGCGGCUCGAUAAGUCCGGUGUGAAACCUUGGGGCUCAACCCCAAGCCUGCACUGGAUACUGCCGAGCUAGAGUCCGGGAGGGGAGAGCGGAAUUCCUAGUGUAGCGGUGAAAUGCGCAGAUAUUAGGAAGAACACCGGUGGCGAAGGCGGCUCUCUGGAACGGUACUGACGCUGAGACGCGAAAGCGUGGGGAGCGAACAGG
rnacentral:rRNA from 1 species